UUUUUGAGAAUUUGAUCCUGGUUCAGGAUGAACGCUGGCGGUGUGCUUUAGGCAUGCAAGUCGAGCGGUUCGGCGCAAGCCGAACAGCGGCGGACGGGUGCGUAACACGUAGGAAUCUACCUCUUGGUGGGGAAUAGCCCGGCGAAAGCCGGGGUAAUACCGCGUAAACUCCGGUGUCAAAACCGGAGAAAAGGGCGUAACUGCCCGCCGAGAGAGGAGCCUGCGGCCUAUCAGCUUGUUGGUGGGGUAAUGGCCUACCAAGGCGAUGACGGGUAGGGGGCGUGAGAGCGCGACCCCCCACAAGGUCACUGAGACACGGGGCCUACAUCUACGGAUGGCAGCAACCAGGAAUCUUGCGCAAUGGACGAAAGUCUGACGCAGCGACACCGCGUGUGGGAUGAAGUAUUUCGGUAUGUAAACCACUGUGGCGAGGGAUGAACACAAUGACAGUACCUCGCUAGAAAGCCUCUGCUAACUACGUGCCAGAAGCCUCGGCAAUGCGUGGGAGGCAAGCGUUAUCCGGAUUUACUGGGCGUAAAGGGUUACGUAGGCGGAUAGUUAAGUUCGGUCUUAAAGACUCCGGCUCAACUGGAGGCAUGGGCUGAAUACUGGCUGUCUUGAGGGCAUCAGGGGAGACUGGAAUUCUCGGUGGAGGGGUGAAAUCCGUUGAUAUCGAGAGGAACGCCAAUGGCGAAGGCAAGUCUCUGGGGUGUUUCUGACGCUCAGGUACGAAAGCUAGGGUAGCGAACGGGAUUAGAGACCCCGGUAGUCCUAGCCGUAAACAUUGGACACUAGCUGCUCGGCCGUAAGGCCGGGUGGCGCAAGCUAACGCGUUAAGUGUCCCGCCUGGGUAGUACGACCGCAAGGUUAAAACUCAAAGGAAUUGACGGGGGAGCGCACAACCAGUGGAGCAUGUGGUUUAAUUCGAUACGAAGCGAAGGACCUUACCUGGGUUUGACAUGUAGCUGCAAGCUUUGCGAAAGCAUGGCCGCCUUCGAGGGUGCUACACAGGUGCUGCAUGGCUGUCGUCAGCUCGUGUCGUGAGACGUCUACUUAAGUGUAGUAACGAGCGCAACCCCUGCCGCGUGUUGAAUAAUCACGCGGGACUGCCUUACAGCAAGUAGGGAGGAAGGAGGGGACGACGUCAAGUCAGCAUGGCCCUUACACCCAGGGCAACACACAUCCUACAAUGGGAAGUAACAACGGGUCGCGAGGCCGCAAGGCGGAGCUAAUCCUUAUAAACCUUCCCUCAGUUCGGAUUGGGGGCUGCAACUCGCCCCCAUGAAGUCGGAAUUGGUAGUAAUCGCAGGUCAGCAGACUGCGGUGAAUACGUUCUCGCUCCUUGUACACACUGCCCGUCAAGCCAGCAAAGUCGGCAGAUCCCGAAGCGGGAGUUCCUAACCGCAAGGAAGGACCCUUCUAAGGAUAGGUCGGCGAUGAGGACUAAGUCGUAACAAGGUAUCCGUUCUGGAAGGAGCGGAUGGAUCACCUCCUUUCUA
rnacentral:rRNA from 1 species